rnacentral:rRNA from 1 species
UAGGGAAUUUUCGUCAAUGGGGGCAACCCUGAACGAGCAAUGCCGCGUGAGCGAAGAAGGUCUUCGGAUUGUAAAGCUCUGUUGCCGGGGGAAAAAAGGAAGGAAAGAGGAAAUGCUUUUCUUGGA